UACGAACGGUGCGAGCGUUGUUCGGAUUUACUGGGCGUAAAGGGCGCGUAGGCGGCCUGUCAAGUCAGUUGUGAAAUCUCCGGGCUUAACUCGGAACGGUCAAUUGAUACUGUCAGGCUAGAGUGCAGAAAGGGCAAUCGGAAUUCUUGGUGUAGCGGUGAAAUGCGUAGAUAUCAAGAGGAACACCUGAGGCGAAGGCGGGUUGCUGGGCUGGCACUGACGCUGAGGCGCGAAAGCCAGGGGAGCAAACGGG
rnacentral:rRNA from 1 species